rnacentral:rRNA from 1 species
AUUGAACGCUGGCGGCAUGCCUUACACAUGCAAGUCGAACGGUAACGCGGGGCAACCUGGCGACGAGUGGCGAACGGGUGAGUAAUGCAUCGGAACGUGCCCGGUAGUGGGGGAUAACUGCUCGAAAGAGCAGCUAAUACCGCAUACGACCUGAGGGUGAAAGGGGGGGAUCGCAAGACCUCUCGCUAUCGGAGCGGCCGAUGUCGGAUUAGCUAGUUGGUGGGGUAAAAGCCCACCAAGGCAACGAUCCGUAGCUGGUCUGAGAGGACGACCAGCCACACUGGGACUGAGAACCGGCCCAGACUCCUACGGGAGGCAGCAGUGGGGAAUUUUGGAAAAUGGACGCAAGUCUGAUCCAGCCAUGCCGCGUGCGGGAAGAAGGCCUUCGGGUUGUAAACCGCUUUUGUCAGGGAAGAAAUCUUCUGAGUUAAUACCUCGGGAGGAUGACGGUACCUGAAGAAUAAGCACCGGCUAACUACGUGCCAGCAGCCGCCGUAA